rnacentral:pre_miRNA from 1 species
CACCCCCCUGCCUCCCCGGCUUUGCUCCCGGUGUCCCUGGUCUGCUGGAGACGGUCCCCAGCAGACCAGGGACACCGGGAGCAAAGCCGGGGAGGCAGGGGGG